GACAGAGGGGGCAAGCGUUGCUCGGAAUUACUGGGCGUAAAGGGCGCGUAGGCGGCCAGCACAAGUCAGUUGUGAAAUCUCCGAGCUUAACUCGGAAAGGUCAACUGAUACUGUGCGGCUAGAGUGCGGAAGGGGCAACUGGAAUUCUUGGUGUAGCGGUGAAAUGCGUAGAUAUCAAGAGGAACACCUGCGGCGAAGGCGGGUUGCUGGGCCGACACUGACGCUGAUGCGCGAAAGCCAGGGGAGCGAACGGG
rnacentral:rRNA from 1 species